GGAAUUUUGGACAAUGGGCGCAAGCCUGAUCCAGCAAUGCCGCGUGCAGGAAGAAGGCCUUCGGGUUGUAAAAUGCUUUUGUACGGAACGAAACGGUCCUGGUUAAUAACUGGGGCUAAGGACGGUACCGUAAGAAUAAGCACCGGCCAACUACGUGGCAGCAGCCGAGGUAAUACGUAGGGUGGAAGCGUUAAUCGGAAUUACUGGGCGUAAAGCGUGCGCAGGCGGUUUUGUAAGACAGGCGUGAAAUCCCCGGGCUUAACCUGGGAAUGGCGCUUGUGACUGCAAAGCUGGAGUGCGGCAGAGGGGGAUGGAAUUCCGCGUGUAGCAGUGAAAUGCGUAGAUAUGCGGAGGAACACCGAUGGCGAAGGCAAUCCCCUGGGCCUGCACUGACGCUCAUGCACGAAAGCGUGGGGAGCAAAC
rnacentral:rRNA from 1 species